UACGUAGGGGGCUAGCGUUAUCCGGAAUUACUGGGCGUAAAGGGUGCGUAGGUGGUUUCUUAAGUCAGAGGUGAAAGGCUACGGCUCAACCGUAGUAAGCCUUUGAAACUGGGAAACUUGAGUGCAGGAGAGGAGAGUGGAAUUCCUAGUGUAGCGGUGAAAUGCGUAGAUAUUAGGAGGAACAUCAGUGGCGAAGGCGGCUUACUGGACUGUAACUGACACUGAGGCUCGAAAGCGUGGGGAGCAAACAGGAUUAGAUACCCUGGUAGUCCCUGAGCGGG
rnacentral:rRNA from 1 species